AUGUGCUUCCUCCUGCAUCCCAUUCUCAUCCCACCCCAUCUCCAGGCUGUCCUAUCCCCAUCCUAUCCUAUGUCACCCCAUCCUCAUCCCACCCCAUCCACAGCCUACCCUGGUCCCGUACUUCCCUGUCCCCGUCCUUCCUUGGCUGCAUCCUUCUCUGUCCUCAUCCUGCCCCACCCUGUCCCCAGCCCAACCUGGUCCUUCCCCACACUGUCCCAUCCUACCUUGGCUCCACCCUGCCCCAACCCCAUCCCACACCAUUCCCAUCUCACCCUGCCCACAUCCCAGCGUGAUCCCAUCCUUCUCCGUUCCUGUCCCAUCUCAUCCCUAUUCUACCUUGUCCCCAUCCUAUCUUGGCUUCAUCCCAUUCCAUUCCUAUCAAAAUUCAUCCCAAUCCUACUCUGUUCCUAUACUUUCCCAUCCACUUCCUAUCUUGACUCCCUCCUUCCUCCUCCCCAUCCCACCCUGGUCCCAUCUACCCUAUCCCUCUUCUACCCCAUGCCCACCAUACCUUUGCUCCAUCCCACUCCACAUACACCCCACCCCAUCCCCACCCCUGCCCUCAUCCCAUGCCAUUUCUUUUUGGGAUCUCUAUCCCAAGCCAUUCACCACUGGGGUCCCCAUCCCAAGCCAUUCCCCCCAUUGAGAUCCAGAUUCUGGGGAGUCUGUUGCGGGCUUUGUGGGUUCACAGUGGGGCUGGGUGGGUGCAGAGACAGACCCUGCCAUCACCAUCACUGGGUUUGUGGAUGGGAGAUCACAAACUUGACCUUGGGAAGACCCCAAAGAAGCUUUCAAAAUAGGGAGGAGAACCCAACAGAGAACGCCCACAGCUCCAGGUCCCUAUUCCUGUCUCUCUCUGGCCUGAAGGCUGUUGGAGGAGAACACUGCAGCACUUGCCAAGCCCAAGCAGGACGCACUGGCAGUGCGGGCGGUGAGAUGGUGAUGUCCCCGUGCCACUGGCAGCACUGCCAGGGCCAAGGAACCCGCCGGGCCGGUUGGCAGGGAUGGGUUUGGCAGCACCACACGGUGCCGGGAGCACCCAUGUGCAGGGAGCAGCAGCAGGCAGAUGCGUGUGGGGCACAGCGUGCCAGCUGGGGCUCAGCAGCACCUCGUCAUCCUUGCGUGCCUCGCAUAUUUUGGGAGCAUGGCAGGGCAUUGAGCCUGCUGGACGUGGUGGAGGUGUGUGGCUGUUUCUGGGUGUGUUGUUGCACAGAGCUCAGGCCCCAUUGCUGCCUGCUGGCUGUGAGCUGGGGAUGGGGCCGGAGCUGCCUUGCAUGUCACUGCGUGCCAUACAGCUGCUGGAAUGCUUUGUGCAGCCAGCCCUGCCUGGGGAGUGAGGCUUGCGGCGUGCCCGUGUGUGGGGAGAGCUGCUGGAGCCUUCUGAGGAACCUGAGCCCAGCUGGGCGUUGCAGGAAACCUGCUGGCCCGCGUGUUUGUUUGCGUGCAGCAGUGCCUGGAAACCAGCCCUGCACCCAGGCUGCAGCAGAGCCUGCACCCUCCCGGUGCUCCCACAUGGGGCAAGAGGAGGGCAGGUCCCUGUCCUGGAAUGGGGCUCGUGGCUCCCACCCUCACAUCCCCGCAUCCACUUGUCCUGCUGCAUGCCCUGAGUGCUGCUCGGGACUUUCCACCAGCACGACUUGGCCUCACAGAAGCACACCCAGCUCCUCCAGCUUGCUGCCUGUCCUCUCCUGA
ensembl:lncRNA